rnacentral:rRNA from 1 species
GCGGCAGGCCUAACACAUGCAAGUCGAACGCUGUAGCAAUACAGAGUGGCAGACGGGUGAGUAACGCGUGGGAACGUGCCUUUCGGUUCGGAAUGACUCAGGGAAACUUGAGCUAAUACCGGAUACGCCCUUCGGGGGAAAGAUUUAUUGCCGAAAGAUCGGCCCGCGUCCGAUUAGCUAGUUGGUGAGGUAAAGGCUCACCAAGGCGACGAUCGGUAGCUGGUCUGAGAGGAUGAUCAGCCACACUGGGACUGAGACACGGCCCAGACUCCUACGGGAGGCAGCAGUGGGGAAUAUUGGACAAUGGGCGCAAGCCUGAUCCAGCCAUGCCGCGUGAGUGAUGAAGGCCCUAGGGUUGUAAAGCUCUUUCGCCAGGGACGAUAAUGACGGUACCUGGAUAAGAAGCCCCGGCUAACUUCGUGCCA